CGUGUCCGCUGUAAUUCAAAACUGAAGCACAUAAACAGAUGCAUAUAAAAACGGUGGUGCUUUACUCUCCGCAAGGUUCGGUUCUAAACUAAGCUGAAGACUAUCAUCAAUUCUAAUGCGUGAUGCCAAAGGCAGUGGAGUAUGGAAAGAAGCCUAUGACACGUUCUAACGAGAACCGCUGCGCCUACUGUGAAGUAGCGAUUCUGCUAUAGCUACUGAUACUGCCUCUACGCUAGCGAGAGCGACGUCUAUUGCCAGCAGAACCAGAAUAGUGUUCUUUUGCCAAAAAAAUCAUCUAACAGAUAAAAGAAGCAACGCUGCUAUGAGGAGUCGAUCUUUUCAAAGAUCCAUUCGCGUUAUACAGGGAACAGAAUGUGGCAGACGUACCACGGUGGUGCUUAUGAUUGGAGCCGUAAUGUCCAGCUAACUGGGAUAAGCGUAACCCACUCGUGUAUCAUAUCAUGACAUCGUUGCCACUGUAUAACUCACCCAUAGCUAAAACUGCCCGGCCAGCUAGCCUACGUCGACAAACCAAGGCCAUUCGGAUUUAGGAUUAGGUUAGGUAGGUCCUUUUUGCCCUCUCAUUGAAGGAAGAAGAAAAGAACUGAGCUAUUGCACAACCGAGGUAGACCAAAUUCAAGAUAGAAUCUAGGAAGCGAUGCGAGGCAACGAGCGGGAGAGCUACCCUUAUCCCUCUUUAUUCGAUCGAGCUGACAAGCAUAUAGAAACGACAAUGAACAAGCUGCGUCGAGUAGUCUUUGUUAUUUUAAGAUUUUUUUGUUACUUUAAGGAAAAGCCAAUGAUAUGAUAUUACUUGAUUCCGUACAAAGAUAUAGCAAAUAAAAGCAUCUUUAUUUACUUUAUCAUCACUA